UCUCCGUUGGUGAACCAGCGGAGGGAUCAUUACCGAGUGAAAACUCAUAACCCUUAAGGACCCUGUCUCUGUUGCUUCAGCGGCUCGCUCCCGGGGGAGCCCGCCCGUAAUAUCAGUAUCUCUGUUUGACCCCGACGCUAAUUCUGAGUGGUCUUAGCGAACAGUUAAAACUUUCAACAACGGAUCUCUUGGUUCUG
rnacentral:misc_RNA from 1 species